rnacentral:rRNA from 1 species
CAGUAGCCGCGGUAACACGUAGGGUCCGAGCGUUGUCCGGAAUUAUUGGGCGUAAAGGGCUCGUAGGCGGUUUGUUGCGUCGGGAGUGAAAACCAGGUGCUUAACACCUGGCCUGCUUUCGAUACGGGCAGACUAGAGGCAUUCAGGGGAGAACGGAAUUCCUGGUGUAGCGGUGAAAUGCGCAGAUAUCAGGAGGAACACCGGUGGCGAAGGCGGUUCUCUGGGCAUUAACUGACGCUGAGGAGCGAAAGCAUGGGGAGCGAACAGGAUUAGAUACCCCUGUAGUCCCUGUCUCUUAUCC